rnacentral:rRNA from 1 species
AUUGAACGCUGGCGGCAUGCUUUACACAUGCAAGUCGAACGGUAACAGGCCUUCGGGCGCUGACGAGUGGCGAACGGGUGAGUAAUGCAUCGGAACGUGCCCAGUCGUGGGGGAUAACGCAGCGAAAGCUGUGCUAAUACCGCAUACGAUCUGCGGAUGAAAGCGGGGGACCUUCGGGCCUCGCGCGAUUGGAGCGGCAGAUGUCAGAUUAGGUAGUUGGUGGGGUAAAGGCUCACCAAGCCAACGAUCUGUAGCUGGCCGGAGAGGACGACCAGCCACACUGGGACUGAGACACGGCCCAAACUCCUACGGGAGGCAGCAGUGGGGAAUCUUGCGCAAUGGGCGAAAGCCUGACGCAGCCAUGCCGCGUGGAUGAUGAAGGUCUUCGGAUUGUAAAGCACUUUAAGUUGGGAGGAAGGGUAUUCACCUAAUACGUGGGUACUUUGACGUUACCAACAGAAUAAGCACCGGCUAACUCUGUGCCAGCAGCCGCGGUAACAC